rnacentral:lncRNA from 1 species
UUGUAAGGCUUAAAUCCUGUUCGACGAAUCUUGAGCUUUCCCUGUAUUAUGCUGUCGUUGCUUCGCAUGCACAUCUCUUCCUUUGCGUCAUCUUGAAGAUGGUUAAGGUCGGUUGGAUGCUGCACGUUCUUGUUAAAAUCGAUUGGCAAUUUAGUGGUUUCCUCCUUAUUCAUCACAGUUGCUGCUGCUUCAGUUUGUGGAGGAGAAAAACUUUGUGGAAGUACCUCUCUCUUGAACAGUGCUUGGAAGGCAAGUCGACCCUGACAAAAAGAAGACAAAUUAGACAAGAAGUAAUAAGCA